rnacentral:rRNA from 1 species
GAUGAACGCUGGCGGCGUGCCUAAUACAUGCAAGUCGAGCGGACGGACGAUACUCUUGCUUGGCUGAUGUUAGCGGCGGGCGGGUGAGUAACACGUGUAUAACCUACCUGUAAGACUGGGAUAACUUCGGGAAACCGUAUCUAAUACCGGAUAAUCUUUUGAACCGCGUGGUGCAAAGGUAAGAGACGGUCGUUCUGUCACUAAUCGCGGCAUCCGCGCUGGAUUAGCUAGUUGGUAAGGUCACGGCUUACCAAGGGAACUAUGCAUAGCCGAGCGGAUAGGGGGAUAGGCGACCUUGGAACUGAGACACGGACAAGACUCCUACGGGAGGCAGCAGUAGGGAAUCUGAGGCAACGGGCGAAAGCCUGGCGGAGUAACGCCGCGUGAGUGAUGAAGGUCUUCGGAUCGUAAAACUCUGUUAUUAGGGAAGAACAUAUUUGUAAGUAGACGUGCACAUCUUGACGGUACCUAAUAAGAAAGCAACGGCUAACUACGUG